UGAGGAAUAUUGGUCAAUGGGCGGAAGCCUGACCGAGCAACGCCGCGUGAGUGAAGAAGGUUUUCGGAUCGUAAAACUCUGUUGGUAGAGAAGAACGUUGGUGAGAGUGGAAAGCUCAUCAAGUGACGGUAACUACCCAGAAAGGGACGGCUAACUACGUGCCAGCAGCCGCGGUAAUACGUAGGUCCCGAGCGUUGUCCGGAUUUAUUGGGCGUAAAGCGAGCGCAGGUGGUUUAUUAAGUCUGGUGUAAAAGGCAGUGGCUCAACCAUUGUAUGCAUUGGAAACUGGUAGACUUGAGUGCAGGAGAGGAGAGUGGAAUUCCAUGUGUAGCGGUGAAAUGCGUAGAUAUAUGGAGGAACACCGGUGGCGAAAGCGGCUCUCUGGCCUGUAACUGACAUUGAGGCUCGAAAGUGUGGGUAUCAAACAGGAUUAGAUACCC
rnacentral:rRNA from 1 species